GCGAGGUGGAGCUAAUCCCAUAAAACCGAUCGUAGUCCGGAUCGCAGUCUGCAACUCGACUGCGUGAAGUCGUAAUCGCUAGUAAUCGUGAAUCAGAAUGUCACGGUGAAUACGUUCCCGGGCCUUGUACACACCGCCCGUCACACCAUGGGAGUGGGUUGCACCAGAAGUAGGUAGCUUAACCGCAAGGAGGGCGCUUACCACGGUGGGAUUCAUGACUGGGGUGAAGUCGUAACAAGGUAGCCGUAUCGGAACCUGCGGUUGGAUCACCUCCGUGAAGUCGUAACAAGGUAGCCGUAUCGGAACCUGCGGUUGGAUCACCUCCA
rnacentral:rRNA from 1 species